AACGUAGGAGACGAACGUUAUCCGGAGUUACUGGGCGUAAAGGGCGUGUAGGCGGUUUGUUAAGUCUGGCGUGAAAGCUCUCGGCUAAACCGGGAGAGGUCGUUGGAUACUGGCGAACUAGAGGAUGGUAGAGGCGUGUGGAAUUCCGGGUGUAGUGGUGAAAUGCGUAGUGAUCCGGAGGAACACCAGUGGCGAAGGCGACACGCUGGGCCAUACCUGACGCUAAAGCGCGACAGCAUGGGGAGCAAACGGG
rnacentral:rRNA from 1 species